GAUGAACGCUGGCGGCGUGCCUAAUACAUGCAAGUCGAGCGAACAGACGAGAGUGCUUGCACUCUCUGACGUUAGCGGCGGACGGGUGAGUAACACGUGGGUAACCUACCUAUAAGACUGGGAUAACUUCGGGAGACCGGAGCUAAUACCGGAUAAUAUUUAGCUUCGCAUGAAGCAAUAGUGAAAGACGGUUCUGCUGUCACUUAUAGAUGGACCCGCGGUGUAUUAGCUAGUUGGUGAGGUAACGGCUCACCAAGGCAACGAUACAUAGCCGACCUGAGAGGGUGAUCGGCCACACUGGGACUGAGACACGGCCCAGACUCCUACGGGAGGCAGCAGUAGGGAAUCUUCCGCAAUGGACGAAAGUCUGGCGGAGCAAUGCCGCGUGAGUGAAGAAGGUUUUCGGAUCGUAAAACUCUGUUGUAAGGGAAGAACAAGUACGUUAGUAACUGAACGUACCUUGACGGUACCUUACCAGAAAGCCACGGCUAACUACGUG
rnacentral:rRNA from 1 species